UACGGAGGAUGCAAGCGUUAUCCGGAUUUAUUGGGUUUAAAGGGUGCGCAGGUUGUUUGAUAAGUCAGUGGUGAAAGUCUGUCGUUUAACGGUAGGAUUGCCAUUGAUACUGUUAGACUUGAAUAUGGAUGAGGUAGGCGGAAUGUGUAGUGUAGCGGUGAAAUGCAUAGAUAUUACACAGAACACCGAUUGCGAAGGCAGCUUACUAAUCCAUCAUUGACGCUGAGGCACGAAAGCGUGGGGAUCAAACAGGAUUA
rnacentral:rRNA from 1 species